GAAAUGCGAUAAGUAGUGUGAAUUGCAGAAUUCAGUGAAUCAUCGAAUCUUUGAACGCACAUUGCGCCCCUUGGUAUUCCAUGGGGCAUGCCUGUUCGAGCGUCAUCUACACCCUCAAGCUCUGCUUGGUGUUGGGCGUCUUUGUCCCGCCUCCGCGCGCGGACUCGCCCCAGAUUCAUUGGCAGCGGUCCUUGCCUCCUCUCGCGCAGCACAUUGCGCUUCUCGAGGUGUUGCGGCCCGCGUCCAGAAAGCAAUCGUUACCGUCUUUGACCUCGGAUCAGGUAGGGAUACCCGCUGAACUUAAGC
rnacentral:misc_RNA from 1 species